AUACGUAGGGGGCGAGCGUUGUCCGGAAUUACUGGGCGUAAAGGGCGCGUAGGCGGCGCUUCAAGUCGUCUGUCAAAUGGGAGGGCUUAACCCUUUUUCGCAGACGAAACUGGAGAGCUUGAGAAGCAGAGAGGCAAACAGAAUUCCUGGUGUAGCGGUGAAAUGCGUAGAUAUCAGGAAGAAUACCAGUGGCGAAGGCGGUUUGCGGGCUGCAUACUGACGCUGAAGCGCGAAAGCCAGGGGAGCAAACGGGAUUAGAUACCCCGGUAGUCCUGGCAGUAAACGAUGUAUGCUGGGUUUGAGACUAGCGAUAGUUUCGUGCCGAAGUUAACGCGAUAAGCAUACCGCCUGGGGAGUACGGUCGCAAGAUUGAAACUCAAAGGAAUUGACGGGG
rnacentral:rRNA from 1 species